rnacentral:tRNA from 1 species
UGGGGCGUAGCCAAGCGGUAAGGNNGUAAGGCAGCGGUUUUUGGUACCGCCAUUCCCUGGUUCGAAUCCAGGCGCCCCAGCCA